UUGGUGUCACUAAGCAUAACCCUACGUAACUCAGGAGGGUGGAAGGCCACAAGAGUAUGGAGCCUUCCUGGUUUUAGGCCUCAGCAGACAAGAGUCCCUCCAUGUUUGAACUUUAAUCGACCUAAAAGGCCAGGUGUAACAGCCGUUAUCAGUUGCAACAGUUCUAACUGGUCUAAAGCAGAAAUAAUGAGGCCUGUGCACCUUUAGCAGAAGGACAAGAUAACUUGCAGAAGGAAAACUUACUAACGAGCUGCCGCGGCCAAGAUUACUUAAUGCACCUGCGCUUACGUAAUUGCUACAGGGGGAGGAAGGAGGAGGAGGGAGGGGAAACGGGGGAUUGCUAGUCAGUGAGAAAAGUUCUCAUGGAUAUAAAGGAACAGACUGCUUGUUUUAGGUGUGCUUGAUCUGAGUCAAUCUCCCUGCACCGCUUUGAGAUCUCAAAUAAACUUGGUUUGCUUCUCCACCCUGGUGUGUUUAUUGGCGCGGCACACCGGGCGACGGACCCCCCCGCUGUUGCUUGGCCUCAGGCAGUUAUCUGCCGGCAACAGUUCUUGGCGCCCCAUGUGGGGCAUUGAGGCUAAAAUUAGCCUUGCCUGGAUCCCUUCUGGUGGUCGACGGAUUGCGGCGACGACCGACGCCCAGCGCGCACCGGUGACUUCACCGGGGGCCUCGGCGGAGACGCAGUUCGACUGACCCCAGAGGGCACAACGGUGCAACGCGCUCGAGUAGUGGAGAAGCAGUUGAGGGCGACGGUGAGGAACCGGUCCCUUGGAUAAGGGGUGGGUAGACCUCUCUUUUUUUUGUCUUUCAGAUAAUCAGAGAAAACUGAUGCCAGCUGAACAGCAUUCAACGUACCAUGCAUUUACUGGCACAAUAGGAAUCAUGUUUUGUGUUCUAUGUUCUGUCCUGUGGUGUUUGUCUUGUGGCCGGAAUUUUUGUGUUUAAUAUUUUUAUAAAAUAGUCUAGUUUAAAAUCAAACAAAAAGAUUAAAUUAAAAUGCAGAUAUUUGUUUUGUUCAACUUGGAAUACAAAGUGUUUGGAUAAAUCAGGAGAAUGUAAUAUACUAAAGUCUAAUGCAUUUCCUUAAGUAAAGAAAAGAAAUUUCAUUGGCCAAACUGUUAAUUGCAAAAAUUGUUGUUAAAAUUUGCAUACCAACAGUCUUUGAAAGCAAAGACAUGAAAAGUUAACCCACUCCCCAUAUUGUACAUGGGAUCUUUUUGGCUACCUCAGAUUUCUAGCCAGAGGGCUGGGGAUGGUGAAAGGCUAUUGGACUAGAGGUUGUAUUGAGUGAACUCCUCAAAGUGGGUGUGCUUGUCCUGGCUUGUUGCUCCAAAGCUCUGUAAUAAGGUUAUUUUAGCAAAAGGGUGUGUGUGGCAUAUAUUAAAUAAUAAGACUAAUGUACUGUAUAAUGACAAUGUUUAUGUCUUCAUUGUUGGGAAGAAGGUGUAUAAGUAAAAAGUGGAAGUUUCCUUUGCAGGUUAAAAGAAGCCAAGAAGGGAAGAAGGACAAAGAACAGAAUGAAUUAACUGAAAAAAAAUAAAAUAAAA